UACAGAGGUCCCGAGCGUUGUUCGGAUUCAUUGGGCGUAAAGGGUGCGUAGGUGGCGCUGUAAGUGGGGUGUGAAAUCCCGGGGCUUAACCCCGGGACUGCAUUCCAUACUGCGGUGCUUGAGGACUGGAGAGGAGACUGGAAUUUACGGUGUAGCAGUGAAAUGCGUAGAGAUCGGGAAGAACAUCGGUGGCGAAGGCGCUCUACUGGACCACAACUGACACUCAGGGACGAAAGCUAGGGGAGCGAAUGGG
rnacentral:rRNA from 1 species